UGGGCAUUUUGGCUGUUGGUGAUGGUGAUCCGGCGUUGUGGUGUGCUGAUGCGAGUGCUGUCACAGCUGUUAUGGCCUGCAGCGCAACAGUUUAACCGGUGGUUAAUACCCCUAAACCUGCAGCGUCGCCGGGCGGCGUCCUGUAUGCACGCGACAUUGCUCUCGGUCCGUGUGAGCGAAUCGUUGCUGUGCGGGCUGUCUCGAUCUGGCCUUUGGCUGGUUAUGUGUGUGCGCUGGGGAACCGUGGGGUGAUCUGCUGCACUGCGGCCUCGGCGGGGGUUUGAACGGCGGCUUGGUCUGUCUUUCUCGUGCCUUGGAUUUGGGUGUCGCUCUCUCUCCCCCUGUGGGAUUGCCCUCUGCCUGGUCGGCCCAGUUCCAGCUGUGUCUUGGCUCUAAGCGGGCUGCCGGUUUUAGCCUUUUUUUUUGUUGGUUGAGUCUAGUUAUUGUAUAUUUAGUUUAUACAGUUGGCAUUUUGUGGUGUGUGUUUUCAAUUUUAGUUGGUUUGAAUUAACUGAUCUGUACGUUUUGAUUCAUUUUGGUGUGUUUUGCUUUAUCCUUUUAGCCACUGUGUAUUUUAAAUAUUAUAUUGUAUAUUAAAUUAGGCCCAUACUUUUAAUUUUAUUCAGUAAUGGCAUGCCUUCUUAAUUAGUAUAUG